AUGUGAAGUUACAGAGGAGCUGGACUGAGUGUCUCUCCAGUAUCUCCUGCUCUGAUGGGGAGGGGUGUUCAUGUGAAGUUACAGAGGAGCUGGACUGAGUGUCUCUCCAGUAUCUCCAGCUCUGAUGGGGGGGGGUGUUCAUGUGAAGUUACAGAGGAGCUGGACUGAGUGUCUCUCCAGUAUCUCCAGCUCUGAUGGGGAGGAGUGUUCAUGUGAAACACUGAUAGAUCAUUCUGGAUGGAUUCCUUAUCAGCGUGUCUGUAUUAACCCAACUUCUCUUGUCUGUUUCCCUCUGAAGGUUCUGUUGACCAGUUAGAGGAAAUUCUGUCCCAGUAUGAGGAGCUGAAAUCCACCCAUGAGCUGGUAGACGCUGCGCGCAGAGCUUUAAUUUCCAGGGUGGAGGAACUGACCAAUGAGAGAGCAGCCCUGAGCCUGGAGGUGGGAUCUGCCCAGGAGACUGUUGCCCGAUUGGAGGGAAAACUGAAGGAGAUGGAGGAGGAAGUGAGGCGGCUUCGUAAAGAGCUGGACGAGUGUCAGAGCGAGGACCCAGAGGCCUCCCUCCCACUCUCCCUGCGCCAGCGCUUCUCCCGCUCGGAGAUGGCCAGGGUGGUGAUGGAGAGGAACCAGUACAAGGAGAAACUGAUCGACCUGCAGGACGCCCUGAGGCGCACACAGCAGCUCCGGUGCGGUCUCUGUCUCCGGUCCUGCUCCGUCCCUGUCCCUCCUCUCUCCCUCCUCUCUCUCCCUCCUCUCUCUCCCUCCUCUCUCUCCUGAGUCUCUCUCCUGAGUCUCUCUCCUGAGUCUCUGCCCGAUGUCACUGUGCUUCACUGCUCUUGUGUGUCCGGAAGUCUGUCCCCCUGUCCACCUGACGGAUUGCUCUUGUCCUGCGUCU
rnacentral:lncRNA from 1 species